CGUAGGGUGCGAGCGUUAAUCGGAAUUACUGGGCGUAAAGCGUGCGCAGGCGGUUUGUUAAGAUAGGCGUGAAAUCCCCGGGCUCAACCUGGGAACUGCGCUUAUGACUGGCAAGCUAGAGUACGGCAGAGGGGGGUGGAAUUCCACGUGUAGCAGUGAAAUGCGUAGAGAUGUGGAGGAACACCAAUGGCGAAGGCAGCCCCCUGGGUCGAUACUGACGCUCGAUGCACGAAAGCGUGGGUAGCAAACAGGAUUAGAUACCCUGGUAGUCCACGCCCUAAACGAUGUCAACUAGGUGUUGGGAGGGUAAAACCUUUUAGUACCGGAGCUAACGCGUGAAGUUGACCGCCUGGGGAGUACGGCCGCAAGGUUA
rnacentral:rRNA from 1 species